UGUUUUUUGUAAUUAUUACAUUUAAUUUCUGCCAGAAGCUGUAAAGACGAAAACUUCUCUCGUUUACACAUUGCCACUUUUAAAUAUAACCCGUCGAUAAAAAGUGCAGGAGUUCGCAAACGUAUUUUAGACACAUAUUUCCGUACGUAGGUGUUUGUUCUCAAACUUACCGACACGUACACACGCAUACCAACACAUACAAGUCGUAAGCACAGGCAGAUAAGUCACGUGUCGGAUGAGAUAAUAUAAAAGAAACAAGUUUUCGGAUUUGUCACAAACAGUUAGUUGCGAUUAAGAAAGGAAAUAUUUCCAUUUCAGUCAUGUCGAUCACAUUUAAAAAUGAAGGUGAUGGUACUGUAGAGACUAUUCACAGCCAAGAUUUAAAGAAUGGUUCUUAUAACUUAAAGCCAGCCUUAACUAACUACACGAUAGCCGAAAGCAACGGAGGUGCGUGGAUUGUGUACAAAAGCUGUAGCCCUGAAGAAGAAUGUGAAACAAUAAUUAUAGAAGAGAGAACAGGAUUUCAAAAACUGAAUGGAAUCAAUGGUUCGGUAAGAAUCAUUCCAGGUAGUUCUGGCAUAGUGCUGUUCCAGCAUAGGAACUUUUGCGGAAAGUACAAGCUUUAUGAAGAAGACCGAUGUGAUGAUGUUAGCAAAUAUUUCGAGGGAGAUAGUGAAUGUGGCGAUGGAGUGUCAUCAUACAUCGUGACAGAUCAACAAUACGAUUAUCUCCUAUUUCCUAAUUUAAACUGCGAGGGUGGAAGUUUUGAAAAUAUAGCCAAAAGAGGAACACGGCUCAGCUAUAUUGGAGAAGAUGAGAACGACAGAGUUAAAAGUUAUAGUAAAGUACUAUAACUGCUAUUAAAAGGAACAUUUUAAUCUUCAAUGCAUGCAAACUAGUUAUAGUUAAUUACUCCACAUAUUUAAAUUUACAUUUUGUUUUUUUUUGUCAUUUAAUAAAAUUUCCUUUUAAAA